CCCUGUGCAUGUGAAAAAACUAGAUCAUCAGCACCCGCUCCCUCACGCUUCAUGUGCCUCAUCAUGCAGAUCAGAAGAGCACA